rnacentral:rRNA from 1 species
AUUGAACGCUGGCGGCAUGCCUAACACAUGCAAGUCGAACGGCAGCACGGCAGUAGCAAUACUGUGGGUGGCGAGUGGCGGACGGGUGAGGAAUACGUCGGAAUCUGCCCAAUCGUGGGGGAUAACUAACCGAAAGGUUAGCUAAUACCGCAUACGACCGAGAGGUGAAAGCGGGGGACCGCAAGGCCUCGCGCGAUUGGAUGAGCCGACGUCGGAUUAGCUUGUUGGUGGGGUAAAGGCCUACCAAGGCAACGAUCCGUAGCUGGUCUGAGAGGAUGAUCAGCCACACUGGAACUGAGACACGGUCCAGACUCCUACGGGAGGCAGCAGUAGGGAAUAUUGGACAAUGGAGGAAACUCUGAUCCAGCCGUGCCGCGUGAUAGAUGAAGGCCCUCUGGGUUGUAAAUAUCUUUUAUCUGGGAAGAAACACUCCUAUUCUUAGGAACUUGACGGUACCAGAGGAUAAGCACCGGCUAACUCCGUGCCAGCAGCCG